rnacentral:rRNA from 1 species
UACAGAGGGGGCAAGCGUUAUUCGGAAUUAUUGGGCGUAAAGGGCGCGUAGGCGGCUUUGCAAGUGGCGGGUGAAAUCCCUCGGCUUAACCGAGGAACUGCCUGCCAGACUGUGAGGCUUGAGACCGGGAGAGGUGAGUGGAAUUCCCAGUGUAGCGGUGAAAUGCGUAGAUAUUGGGAGGAACACCUGCGGCGAAGGCGGGUUGCUGGCUGAUACUGACGCUGAGGCGCGAAAGCCAGGGGAGCGAACGGG